rnacentral:rRNA from 1 species
GUCCUAGCCCUAAACGAUGCUCAUUAGAUGUGGGAGGUAUCGACCCCUUCCGCGUCGUAGCUAACGCAUUAAAUGAGCCGCCUGGGGAGUACGGCCGCAAGGUUGAAACUCAAAGGAAUUGACGGGGGCCCGCACAAGCGGUGGAACAUGUGGUUUAAUUCGACGCAACGCGAAGAACCUUACCUGGGCUUGAACUACUGGUGGUAAGUCCUUGGAAACAGGGGCUGACCCGCAAGGGAGCCAGCAGAGGUGCUGCAUGGUUGUCGU